CUCAAAAUUACUUCUUGAGAACAAAAAUGAAAUUACGAGUAAACCAUGAAACUUUUCUAAUGGUUAAAAACCUAGUUGGUCACUAAACAUCAAAUAAUUUUUGUUGGGUGUGGAAAAUUAGAAAAAAAUAAAUAAAUAAAAUAAAAUGGGAACACACUAGAAAUUAUUCUCCUAAAAAGACAUUCUUUGACUUAUUUUUAGCAUGGGAUAAAAGUGUAAAUUAAACAUAAGAUAAUAUUAAAUUAAAAGUAUGCAGGGAUGGCAGGAAGUUGAGGCUCAGAUCAGAUCUAUUGGAUUGAAGAGGCAAGGAGAAUAUGACCGCGCCAUGGCUGCAUAAUCACCGGUGGCAUAAAAUCAGAUGCCAUCCCGGUUGCCCCGCCAAGAUACGGGUCAGUUCAUCUCAAAGCCCGAUUCAUCAGCUCAGAAGAAUCAAAAUCAUCGUCAUAGCCUCUGCAAAAUCAGAUCGAUACAGUUUCGGAACUCUCUCGCUGAUAUAUAGAGAGAUCUCCGCUCUCUCAGUGUGUGUGUAUGUAUGUAGUAUGAAUUAUGGUGGAAUCGAAUCCAAGAACAAAAGGGUAAUUAUAUAUAUUUCCGCUUGCAUCAGAUAACAUUGGCUGUUUCUAAUUUCUCAAGGGCUGUUGAUAUUUACAGGAUGGAAAUCAUCGGUUUCACAGAGAGGGGCAACCACCCUUAAAGAAUUCCCAGUCUCUCUGUAAACCUCAUUCUUCACUCCCAAGCACCAAGCCCUGGAUUCUGGUUUACCUCUUAAUUUAUAGUACAGCGCUGUUCCCAAUUUAUCCCUUCUUUGUGUUCCAUUUUGCAGACCAGGAGAAUACUUGG
rnacentral:lncRNA from 1 species